rnacentral:rRNA from 1 species
UACGUAGGUGGCAAGCGUUAUCCGGAUUUACUGGGUGUAAAGGGCGUGUAGGCGGGACUGCAAGUCAGAUGUGAAAUUUCGCGGCUCAACCGCGAAACUGCAUUUGAAACUGUAGUUCUUGAGUGAUGGAGAGGCAGGCGGAAUUCCGUGUGUAGCGGUAAAAUGCGUAGAUAUACGGAGGAACACCAGUGGCGAAGGCGGCCUGCUGGACAUUAACUGACGCUGAGGCGCGAAAGCGUGGGGAGCAAAC